GAUGAACGCUGGCGGCGUGCCUAAUACAUGCAAGUCGAGCGAACGGACGAGAAGCUUGCUUCUCUGAUGUUAGCGGCGGACGGGUGAGUAACACGUGGAUAACCUACCUAUAAGACUGGGAUAACUUCGGGAAACCGGAGCUAAUACCGGAUAAUAUUUUGAACCGCAUGGUUCAAAAGUGAAAGACGGUCUUGCCGGCACUUGGGGAUGGAUUCGCGCUGCAUCAGCUAGUUGGUGGGGUAACGGCUUACCAAGGCAACGCGGCGUAGCCGGCCUGAGAGGGUGAGCGGCCACAGUGGGACUGAGAUACGGCCCAGACUCCUACGGGAGGCAGCAGUGGGGAAUAUUGCACAAUGGGCGGAAGCCUGAUGCAGCAACGCCGCGUGCGGGAUGACGGCCUUCGGGUUGUAAACCGCUUUCGCCUGUGACGAAGCGUGAGUGACGGUAAUGGGUAAAGAAGCACCGGCUAACUACGUG
rnacentral:rRNA from 1 species